GUCACUGUAGCUUAACCAAAGCAUGGCACUGAAGAUGCCAAGAUGGCCGUCACACACACACCCAGAGACAAAAGA
rnacentral:tRNA from 1 species